rnacentral:rRNA from 1 species
UACGGAGGGCGCGAGCGGUGUUCGGAAUCACUGGGCGUAAAGCGCGUGUAGGCGGCCGAGCAAGUCGGAUGUGAAAUCCCGAGGCUCAACCUCGGAACUGCAUUCGAAACUGCUCGGCUCGAGUCCCGGAGAGGAUGGCGGAAUUCCCGGUGUAGGGGUGAAAUCCGUAGAUAUCGGGAGGAACUCCAGUGGCGAAGGCGGCCAUCUGGACGGUGACUGACGCUGAGAGGCGAAAGCGUGGGGAGCAAACAGG